rnacentral:rRNA from 1 species
UCCGUAGGCGGUGUGGCAAGUCGGUAGUGAAAUCUCUCGGCUUAACUGAGAGGCUGCUGCCGGAACUGCCAUGCUCGAGUGCGAGAGAGGCGAGUGGAAUUGCGGGUGUAGCGGUGAAAUGCGUAGAUAUCCGCAGGAACAUCCGAGGCGAAAGCGGCUCGCUGGAUCGCAACUGACGCUGAGGGACGAAAGCUAGGGGAGCAAACAGGAUUAGAUACCCUGGUAGUCCUAGCCCUAAACCAUCAGGACUUGGGGUUUGCCCUGUACGGGGCAAGUCCCGGAGCUAACGCGUUAAGUCCUGCGCCUGAGGAGUACGGUCGCAAGGCUGAA